rnacentral:lncRNA from 1 species
UCAAUCAUAUACCAUCCUGCACCUGCCAUGAGCUGCGAGUCACGCCCUAAAAUAGUGUCACGAUAUGGUAAACCAGGGUUUCAAACCCUCUGGCCAUCAUCUACACAAACUACUCAACUCCAACCGGUCGUAGACUGGUCCGCAAUGCCUUUUCCAUUUGAAUCUCCAUCUACUCGCGUCUAAUCUAGUCAAAAUCACAAUGAAUACGUUAUUAUAGGCUAAAUAAAUAUAACCCAAUUGAAAUUAAGCGAAAAACACUAAAAAUGGCAAAGUUGGUAAAACUCGAGCCCCGGGCCCACUUCUUGAAAAAGUCCAAAAAUUACAUCGCCGGAUUCCUCGUCUUGCCACGAGUCCAUACGUAUAAAGUUUCCCAAAAAACGAAGUUCAAAUGGCCUUUUAAAUCCCCAAAUUCGUUUCUAAAUGUUAAGCCCUAGUUCUUCAUAAUUUCUACACAAUUCAUGGAAUUGAGGGUCGAUUCUUCCUAAAAAUGGUGUUUUCAAGUAAAAAGACUUACCUCCAAUCAUUACCCACUGAAAACACACUUCAAAUCGCUCAAAAAGCUCCCUUGGUUGCUUAACAAUAGAGGAAAUAUUAUUGGGUUCGUGACUGAAAUUACCCUUAAAAACAUUCAGUCCAGCUAAACGACCCUUCUUCGCGAACGCGAGGCCCUUCUGCGUUCGCGAUGAACAAAAUCCACUGGGCUAAUUUUCCUUCUUCGUGAACGCAGUGCCCAACUGCGAAUGCGAAGGCCAACUCAGGACCCCCAACAUUCCCUCUUCGCGAACGCGUGGUCCAGUCGCGAACGCGAAGGCAAACAACCCCCAACCUAUGCGAACGCGACCACCCUUCACGAACGCGAAGGCAAAAAUUCUUGGAUUCCCAAUUCCUUCUAUGCGUUUGCGACCUACCCAUGUGAACGCGAAGCACAAAGUUCUGCAACACCAACAGCAGAACACUAGCAAUCCUCUAAGUCCAAAAAUAGCUCGCUUGACCAUCCGAUAUCAGCUCAAGGCCUCCGGGACCUCAACCAAAAGCACAUAUAUGCUCUAAUACCUCAUUCAAACUUGCUCGAUCCAUAAAAUCACUAUCAUAAACAUCAAAAUCAUCAAAUUACCAUGGAUUCAAUCUAAGUUAAACUAAAACUUCCGAAACUUGCAUUUGAUCCAAAACUCAACCUAAACACCUCCGAAUGACAUGAAAAUUUGCACGCAUAUCAAAAAUCAUCUAAUGGAGCUACUACAACUGUCGGAAUUCCAUUUCGACCCCUGGAUGAAAAUCUCACCUAUCAACCGGAAUUCGCCAAAAUUCAAACUUAGCCAAUUCAAGCCUAUUUCUACACCGGACCUCCAAAUUGAGUUUCGGUUGCACUCCUAAGUCAUAAAAAUUACCACUCGGAACAAAUCGAAUCAUCGGAAAUCCAUUACGAUCCCUCUAACUCACAAGUCAAUAUUCAGUUGACUUUUUCAAAAUAAUCUUCUCAUAAAGAGACUAAUUGUCUCAUAUCUAACCAUACUCUAUCCGAAUUACUUCAAAUUCUCUAAACACAUAUAAUGAAACAUAUAAAAGCAUAAAAUGGGAAAAACGGGGCGGUAACUCACGUGACGACGGGUCAGGUCGUUACAGGUAGUCCCCCUUUAUAGUGCAAAAAACGAGUAAGCAGAAGGUAAGAAAUAAUUUUGAGUCAAUCACAUAAGGAUCUCCCCUAGGUUAAGGGAUUUGAAUUCAAACGUGUAUGAGACAAUUAAGGAAAUAAAAAAUAAUUAAAACCUUUUCAGAGUAGUAUAACAAGGGUAAUUACACAGAGUUUAAUUAAGGCAAGAAUCUUAUGGUACCUGGUUUGAAAAAUAAGGAAAGUAAAUCAAUCAAACAGCCAGUAAAUUGAAAACCUCGCUCGAAUGAACUUAGUCAGAAAAUGGGGAGGAAAAGGUUUAAUUUGGAAAAUCAGUAACAAUCAAUCGAGCCUUAGUAAAGGGAAAUUGGAAUCAAUUACAAGUUGGCAGAAUCCUUUUGAAAGAAAAACCCUUAUAUAUAACCACACAAGCAUCAGACAAGAAAGAGAAGGUUGGCAUACAGAAUCCUUUUGAAAGAAAAAGCUUUCAUAUAUAAAGCACACAAGUGUCAAACAAGAAAAGAAAGACUGGCAUAGAAAGUAGAGGUGUUCAUGGUUCGAUUUGGAUCGGGUUUUCCCUAAAAAUAAACCAAACCAAGUAAGUCGGUUUUUUCAAAUAUUAAGACCAAACCAAAACAAUUAAGUCGGUUUUUCUCAAUUUGGUUCAUGUCGGUUUUUUGGUUUUUUCGGUUAUUUGACGGGUUUUCCUUAAAUAUAAGACAUACACUACCAAACACAUAUUCUGGCGACCACAUUUUCAAUGUAACACUAUCAAAUCAAAUGAUCUUUGAGAAAUCAAUUAUUAACCAAGUAUAAUGAUGAUAAUUGAAUCAAAUAAUGAUGACCAAUUUAAGGACUCAAUUAAAAUAUGUUAUUUUUAACACAAAAUUGAUUCUUGCACAAAAAAAAAAAAACUACCAAUCAAACUAGAAUGUAAAGUUAAAGAACUAUAUUAAAAGUGCAAAUUAUUGACAUUGACCAUAAAUUUUUUGAAGCUUUGUAUAUAUAUAUAUAUAUAUAUAUAUAUAUAUAUAUAUAUAUGUGUGUGUGUGUGUGUGUGUGUGUGUGUGUGUAUAAUAAUAAAUUUGAAAUAACUACUUCCGCAGUCGGUUUGGUUCGGUUUUUUUUAUUAAAAUCAAAACCAAACCAAAUUUGAUCGGUUUUUAAUCUUUAAAAUCAAAACCAAACCAAACCAAAAAGUGUCAUUUUUUGGUCGGUUUGGUUUGGUUCAGAUUUUCGGUUUUUAUGAUCACCCUAACAGAAAGUUUCAAAUUAUAAGCAAAAGAUUCCAGUCCAGUCCAAAGUAGAACCCUAGUUCAAACUCAAAGACCAAAAACUCGUAGGAACCCCAAACCCUAGGGUUUCAAAUUCGAGUAUGGUAUAGAAAGGAGGGGGCAAGCCCUUAAAACAGACUCAAAGAGUCUCAUGAUGAAGCACAUGGAUACAAUAUCCAGUUUGAAGCAACAGAGUGAGAAAAUCAUAAGGAACAUGUUUAAUAAAAGCUCAGAACUUAAGCAAGUUCAGGAGAGAAAAGAGGUGACAUAGCACUUAAGCGAAAGUAUAUGAAAUAGGUUUAGAACUCAAACAAACUCAGUAAAAAUAUAGUAAAGGAAUACACACAAGAUAGACACGUAAAACAUUUUGUAGAAAACCAGUAGAGGAGAUAACAGAGCACAAGUAGAAGAACAUGCAUAAUAAUGGCAAAACAUAAGAACAUAAGAGAAGACAUACACAAGCGAAAACACAUAAGAACAAAGCAUAUACAGGCAGAUUCAUUCACAUAAAGAAAGAAGAAGAAGAAGAAAAAGAAAUCGUUUUAAGAGUUUUUUGAAAGCCCUAGAUUGAAUAGACUAAUUUUGAUAAAGAAGAUUGGGGAAAAGCUUUAAAACCUCGAGUGUAACACAAAUCUAUCACAUAUCUAAUAAAAUAAAGGAAGAAAGAACCUUGAACGGCUUUUAGGGUUUCUCAGAAACCCUAGAGACGAGAAAGCUUGGAAAGGAUCUGGUCUCGAACAGGUUUGGACAAUAGCUAGGACUUUCACUCAAACACGUCGGAACGGAGCUGGAGAAGCCAUAGGAACUCAGAUCGGCGGGGAAUUUGGACAGGCGUUUCUACGAUUGAACCAUAAAAACCUCAAACAUCCAUGAUUUGGGGUGAAGGGGAGAGAGCACGGGCCGUUCAUGGCCUGAGAAGCCAUGGACGCCAGUGGAAUUUGGUCGGAGAAGACGAUAGGGGACGGCUAGGGUUCGAGUGUCAGAGAGAGUUUGAGAGAAGCGGAGGGUUCAAAGGUGGCUACAUGAGAGAAAUGAGAGAUGGGGUUAGGGUUUGGUAAGAUUAAAAAGGAAAGGAUUGUUGUGGGUCGUUGAUCAAAAUGAUCAACGUCCAGGAUUAAAUGAUAAUACGGACGGGUUUAGUCAAACGGGUUAGGGGCCGGGUUAAAUUGAAUUGGGCUAUUAAUUUGGGGCCUGAUAUUAGGUCAACUGGGGGGGGGGGGUCAAAAUAGGAUAAAAUUGAAAGAAAUUGAGGCCAUAAUUGAAAUAGACAAUUUUCCCUUUUGAUUUUAUAAAAAUAGUAAAAGUAUUUUAAAAAUUAAAUUAAAAGUACUGAGUCAAUAAAUAAUAUAUAAAUAUUAAAAAUAUUGGGAUUGAUUUAUCGAAAGUGAACUAUAAUUGUAAUUACAUGCAAUUUAGUUUUAAAAAUACUAAAUGAAUUUGUAAAUGGAAAACGGUCAUAUAUGUCCUUCUACUAGUCAAAAUAAGCUACAUCUAUCCUACGCUAUACUAUUUGGCCAUAUAUGUCCCUACCGUUCACGUCUCUGGUCAUAUAUGUCCCUCUGACGUUAAUAUUUCUGUUUAAAAAUUAAAAUGCCACAUGUCAGAGUCCUAUUGAUUAUACUAAACCCACUUCCCUUUUUUUUUUAUAUUAAAAUGAAAAUAUUUGUAAAAAACAAAAGAAAUGGUAAAAAUGGGGAAUUUUUUUAAAAAACUGGGAAUUUUUUUUAUUAUUUCAGAUUUUAAAGAACAAAAAUAUUAUAUUAAAAAUAAUUUAUUUUCUAUUUUUACAAAUUUAUAUUUUCACUUUUUACAAAGCCAAAUUCUUUUAAAAAUGAAAAAAAUACUUUUUAAAAACAAAAAAAAACACAUUUUGGAAAUAUUUUCAUUUUUGAAAAUAACUUGAUUUUUUUUUGUAAAAACGGAAAUAAAAAUUGUUUAACAAAAUAUUUUCAUUUUUGACAAAAUUGUUUAACAAAAUAUUUUCAUUUAUAAAAAAAGAAGAAGAAUGUAUUCCUUAUCAUUCUGAUUCAUUUAGAGAUGCUCUAUUCAUAUUUUUGAAAUAUUUUGAAAAAAUAAAAAAUCAGUUUAAACAAUUUUUUUUUUCUGUUUCACUAAAAAAAUAAGUUUAAACAAUAUUUUUGUUUUUUAAUAUAAUAUUCUCAUUUUUUAAAAUCUGAAAUAAAAAAAAAAAUUCCCACAUUUUUCAAAAAUUUUCCCCAUUUUUUACAAUUUUUUUUUUUUUUUUUACAAAUAUUUUCGUCUUAAUAUAAAGAAAAAGAUGAUUGAGUUUAGUUUAACCAAUAGGACUCUGACACGUGGUAUUUUAAUUUUUAAACAGAAAUAUUAACGUCAAAGGGACAUAUAUGACCAAAGAUGUGAACGGUAAGGACAUAUAUGACCAAAUAGUAUAACACGGGACAAAUGUAAUUAUUUUGAUUAGUAGAGGGACAUAUAUGACCGUUAUCCAAUUUGUAAAUAUAUGGAAAAAUCAUAUUAUCUAUAUUUUGGUAUAAAUAUGAGGAUAAAAUAAUUUAUUCACAAAAAAUGAUAAUUUUGGGAAUAAUUAUUCUAUUUUAUGGUAUAAAAAUAUGCAAUAAAUUGGUUUAAAAAUUUGUAAAAAUGCCAAAACUCAUGGAUGUGCUCAUAUAUGUAUAUAUAUAUAUAUAUAUAUAUAUAUAUAUAUAUAUAUAUAUGAUAUUUUGGAAGUAUUUUUGGUAUAAAAUAAUAUAUAGAGAAAAAUUGGGUAUCAACAGGUGAUGCCACAACCCUAGUGCCUUUCUCUAUAUUAAUUACAACUUAGAAAAUAUCCCUUUAGCAUAAUUUAGUCUUAAUCCUUAGUUGAUAAUAGUAGUUGAUAAACGGAAACCCAAAAAUGUUUGGAGUGCAAUUAGAAGCACAAACGCAUUCCUAGUCUAGACAAAUACGAAACUCCACUUCAAGCUCUCUGUGAAAAAAUUGACCCCGAUACCACUAUUUAGGUAAAAGCUGUAGCACGCGAUCUUCCUAUCAUGGCAAUUAGAAGAACAAACGCAUUCCUAGUCUAGAGAGAAAUGCAACUCCACUCCAAGUUCUCUGUGGAAAAAUCAACCCCGAUAUCACUAUUUGGGUAAAAGUUGUAGCACCCGCUCUUCCUACCAUUGUGUAAGGUCGAGUUGGCAACGGCCACUUUUUGGCGUCGUUGCCAAGGAGCUUAUGGUGUUGACUAUCUGUGUAGCUAGUUUUGUGUUUUGCUUCUCUUUCCUUUUUUUACUAACUUUAAUUGUGUCAAUCACUCAGGUACACAUGGCUUUAAAUGAAAAUGACCCUCUUGGCAACAUGGUCAUGGGGGAGGAAGUUGACGACCUAGAACAAGAAGAUGCAUUAACUCAAGCCCCGAGGAGAGGUCGAAAUGCCAAUGCAAAUGCAAAUGAAAACAUACUAUACCCUCCUCCACUUCCACCAAGAGUGUCCCCAAGAGUUCUCCCUAAUCAAGGGUAUGCGAGUGCAAUAGUUCCUUCCCGAAUUCGGGUGAGGAACUUCCAGAUUACAAAUGUGAUGCUCACUUUGCUCGAACAACGAGGUUAUUUCAUGGGUGCCUCCGAUCAGAAUGCUUAUAAAUAUUUGAAAGGUUUUGUGGAUACUUGUUGGGGCAGUUGAUAAGUUGGUAUUUUACCAACUUAUCUUGCCUUUAAAACUAUACUUUUGUAUGUUUGAAGUGAUAAAAUCAAGUAUUUAAUGUCAUUUACUUCUACUUUACAGGUUGAAUGUGAUUUAGAAGUAAUGGUGAAGAAAACAAGUCAAAAGAAGCAAAAAAAAGAGAAAAAUCUAGGCAGUGCCCUUAGGGGUCACAAAUGCCACCAAAGCUUUGGAAUUGCGAAGUCAAGCAGAAAAGGGAGUCCUUCACAAAUGCGAAAUAGGAGUUCACAAAUACGAACUAAGUAGAAAAUGGAUGAUCUCGCAAUUGCAAAGAUCACUUCGUAAAUGCAAAGUCAACAGGAAAGGUCAACCUUCUCAAAUGCGAAGAAAUCAUCACAAAUGCAAUCCAGUCAGUCUAGCAAGGUUAGGAAUUGCGAACAUUUGUUCGCAAUUGCGAAGAACAUGCUUCAGGCAUGGGCAAUUCUAGAAUUUCACACUUUUGAUCUCCAAGUCAUUUAAUACCCGAUUAGGCUCAUUUGUAAACAUCUUUGGCUUAUUUUCAGUCCGUAGAGACUAGAGAGAACAAGGUGAAAGCUAGGGUUUUGCACAAACACACUUGGGUCUUGAAGAUUAAAGCUUGUGGUUAAGGUUUUCUUACCCAUUUAUGUUUGUUUCUUUAUUUCAAACACACUUGGGUCUUGAAGAUUAAAGCUUGUGGUUAAGACUUUCUUACCCAUUUAUGUUUGUAUCUUCAUUUUCUUGCUUUGUAUUGAAUAUUUAACUUUGUAGUAUUUAUUUCCAACACUUGAAGCUUGUUUAUGGGAAUAUUCAUAUUUGAAGUGUGGAUUAAAUACCUUGUUGUGCUUAUGUAUUGAAUGAUUUUUGUAUAUUUAUGAAGUAAGUUAUUGUUACUUUAAUUAUUCUUGUUCUUUAAUGUUUCCAAAGGGAUUAGCUAACCCUAGGACUCGCCCAUAACUACGAAUUGAUUUUGGAAAAAAUAGUUUGGGUUCGGAAAAGAUUAAUUAAUAAGAACUUGAGGCGUUAACCUCAUUUUAUAGAUUCUACCUAAGGAUAGGAUUGAACUACUUGUAGUCUUCCGGGUGUGCUUACUUGAAUUACCUAUUUUUGCAAGAACUAUUCCAUCAUAAAACUCAGUGGGUAAUUGUGGUAAUCGGAUCCAAAUGACAGUGACGUUAUGUUGUGCUUUGUUUGGAACAAAAUUUGGAACCCAUUUUUGAGUGGAUAGAAAAAAACCAUUAACGAACUAAGGUCCAUUAUGUAGAAUUUUUGUCAUGUUUUCCUCACUAUUUAGUUUGACAGUAUAGUAAUCUUCUCCAAGAACAAUUAGAGGGAAAUUUUCGCUGAGCUUCCAAAGAUCUUGUAAUUUCUUUUUGAGAUAGUGAUAUAUAAGUCUCUUCCCUAUUAGCUUGAUGAUGAUCGAAUUUUUCCAAGGCAUGUACAUUCGUUGAAGUUAUCUUGGCUGAGGAAUAUUUGUCUUAAUGAGCUAGUUAAAUCAUUUUGGCUUGAUCAUCAGUUUGGAUUUGGUUAAUGUCCAUAUCUAUAUGAUUUCUAACUCUUGAGUUUGAGGAUUUACUACUUUGGUAGUGAAAAUAUCUUUUAGAAGGGUUUCCUCAUAUGAAGAAGAGAUUUGUAGUUUGUGACUAGAUUUAUCCGGUAACUUUGGUGGAAUAUUAAUAGUAGUAGAUGGUGAUUCUUGAAGUGAGAGGUUAGACAUUCUCUUUCUAAAGUGGAGAAUUAUUGUAUGCCUGACGUUAUCUUUUUCCCUAAUUAGAACACUUUAGUUGCAUGCUAUCUGCACCAAAAUAGAGACCAAUCCUCAUAUGCCAAUAUAAAUUCUUUAACUCACUUUUUUUUUUACUUAAGCACCAAAAGUGAAAAUAAAUUCCAAUUGCCAAGCAAUUUCAGUUAAACCUGACUCUGUCAGCACCUUUGAAAUUGAAAUCUGAAUAGAGGACAUAGUGGAUCUACUACACACGGCAGUAGCUAGACCAUUUUGAAUUUAUCACAAUUGAUUAUUGUGUAUAUUCCCACCACCAUAUUGUUUUAAUCUAAGUAGUACACGUCUUUUCCUUCUCCGACUAGCAUUGCUAAUUUGAGUAGGAGUCAAAUUGUAGUAUCCUAGUUCAUGUUGGAAAUUUACUGUUACGCUUUCUUCAACUCACAAUCAUCAAUUUCCAGUGCUUUUGACAAUUGUGAAGUAUCACCGCAGGUAAUUUUUUCUUUUAUAUUUCUUUUAUAAUUUUUUUUCCUUUUUUUGCAAGCCCGGAAGAGAAGGAUUUAUUUUUGUUUAACUAGAUGAUCCAUAUAUGAAAAAUACAAUCAUAGGAUGUGAGGGAAUGUAUACUCAUCCCGCGCAAAUAUCGGAGAGACAACACUCAAGGUGACCUGAAUAUUAGAGAAAUUACUUUGAAUGUGGCUCGAGUAUCGGAGAAAUUACUCUCAAUGUGGCUCGAAUAUCGGAGAAAUUACUCUCAUCACGACCAAAAUAUCAAAGAUAUUACUCUCAAGAUGUAGUCCGAAUAUCGGAGAGAUUACUCUCAAGGUGUGAAGGAAUGAAAUUCAUCCCUGCCCAAAAAUUGAAGGUCAUUUCAGGGCACAAAGGUUCAUACAGCAUAUCCAAAUACAAGUCCAUGGGAAAAAAUAAAUGGACAAAUUCAUAAAGAGGCCAACUUAAGUUGCAAGGGUACUUAGGCCUCAUUUGUUUGCACUUAAUGGAGGUUUGAAUCUUAAUCAUUCAGAUCACAAAUAUUAAGUGUGUUUGUUUUUAAAGUCUAAAUCUUAAAUAUUCGGAUCUUAAUCAUUAAGUGUUGUUUGUUUUUUUACUUCACAACCACUUAAUGGGUCUGAAUAAGUCAGUAUGGGUAAGAUCUAUAACAGAGACUUAAUUUCAUUAAGAUGCUAUCACAUAUUCAUUAUUUACUGUCGCCACCGCGUACCAUUAUUAACUACCACUAUGCCGCCGCCACCACCACCAUACUCAACCACCACCAUCGCUGCUGCCGCCGCCACCCACCGCCACACCACCAUCAUCCUUAAUCAUAGCCUCCAUGAUCGACCAUCACCACCUACUAUCCCCACCACUCAAACCACCAUCAUUCUCACCCACAGUCAAAUAAAAAUAAAUUUUAUACAUUCAGAUGUUAAAAAUUAAACAGUCUGAAUUAUUUUUAUUCAGAUCUUAAUACACAUCUUAAUAUAUUCAGAUGUGUAUUCAGAUUCAGAUGUGUUGAUCUUAAUGUACGUUUUGAUAUUCAGAUGUGUAUACAGAUUCAUACGUCUUAAUCUUAAAAAACAAAUGAGGCCUUAACCCACCUUAAGAUUGAAAAAUUAUAAUUCCUUUUAAGGACAAACCUACGAAGAGGUCAACUUAAAAUAUAAAGGGAGUAUAAUGUCCACCUCAAGAUGGGAAAGUUAUAGUUCCUUAGCUUUUAAGGAUAAAUCCACUAAGAUGCCAAUUUAGAACCCUUUUGUGAAAUAAAAAUAUUAAUAUAAAAAUCUGUAUGUGAACGACCAUAACUUACAACCUUAAAACGAGAUGGUUAGACUUAGAUCACUUAUCUGUAUCACUUCGGCCUAAUUUCUUUUAAAAGAAGUGUUACUACAAAUAUUCUCCCUAUUUAUUCUUGAAGGAAAGAAAAAAAAGGAGAUUACACUUUCUUUUUGGAUCUAACUGCAAAGCAUGAUACUAUGAAUUUUUCUCUUUUCCUUUAAUUAAUUUUGAAUAUUUAUUAAGUAUUACAGAAGAUCAUCAUUGCAGUCAUCAAUGUUGAUUUAUGACUACAUUACAUGAUAAUGCCAAACCUGUUAAAGACUUGAAGAUUAAAGAAUGAGGAAUAGUCACCGAGGAUAGGAGUCAUGUCCCCGAGGUUGAAACUUAAUAUUAUCUCUGUCGUAAAAUCGACAGUCGCAACUCGCAUCAGCUAUUUUAUGAGAGAAACCUAGGGUCCUAUCGUUGGAAACAAGGAAAAAAAGGAGUAACUGAGUAAGGAAAAUCUGAGACCUAAGGACUGAGCUUAGUAUUACAGGGCGUAAGUUGUCACAAGUUGGAUUUGGGAUGUGAUUUGGAAACUUAAGUUAGAAAGUAGGGCUGUGCUACUUAAAUAUAUUGGUAUUUCGGUAUUACCUAAGUAUCGAAAGUUCAAUAUCGAAAAUUAUAAAGAUGUACCGAAGUUAUAAAAAAAUUACACCGAAUAAAUACUGUUUGACCAAAAAGUAUAAACUUUCGAUUAAAUUAUUAUAUUUUAUGUAAUGAAGGGUUAAACUUAGUUUACGAUAAUAUCUCUAUAUAUAGAUCUUAAACAUACGGAUAAUGUAAGACACGGUCAGUGGGAGAUUGAAAAUAACAUGCAUUUAAUAAUCCAAAAGGUAUGAACAAUAAUAGAGGAGUAACUACCAAUAAAUAACAAUAAAUGACAUUUAAGUAAAUAAGGAAAGUGACUCACCAAAUAAUGAAUGAGGUAGAUGAUUGUUCCUCCUAACAAUGAUGAGUAACACACAAAUUCUAAAAUGUUCCGAACUAUUUUCGGAUCUAAUGAAAAAGUAUGGAAUAAUGUGAGUAAGAAUAUUGAUGAAAAGGUAAAGUUUGUCUCUUUUCUUGAGAAAGAUAAUCUUCUCUAAAAAGUAUUCUUAUGAAGUGAAUAUUACAUGACCCAUCCCAUUGUCUCCUUUUCUAUUUAUAAGAAACAUGUCUCUAACAAACUCUAAUAAUACAAAAUGUAGAGAAUAUCCAAUAAAGUAUUCUCUUUAAUAUCAUAUUUCAAUCAUUAGUCGUUACUAUUCUUUACACGAUGCUCGACCUCAUCAUGGUGACAUCUCAGCCAUGAACCCUGCUGUUUUUAUCGACCUCGGCCAUCUUUUUCCUUAAUGCCAUUGUAUACGGCGAAAUCGUAGGAGCCAAUUUCUCGUUGUUAAGGCAUUUCGGAAGGUCACCUUGGAGUUUCGAGACCGCAUGCCGAGUACUCUCCCUCGAGGGUCGUCAACACUCGAACUCAGGAUAACGACGACCUCGAUAAUGGUUGUCACACCCCUUUUUUACACUUCACUAACCCUCUGAAAUUAAUAAAAAGAAUUUGUAAAUCUCAAAAAGGGGUUUUUUUAAUUAAAAGUUACGAAAUUGUGUUCAAAAGAAAAUAACUUAGAGUCGUCACCUGACAUUUGAUUUCGGUGUGUCAGGUCACCGUUUUUUUUUCUAAAAAUAAUUUUUUCCUUUCAAAAUACUUGAGACUCCAAAACUAAAUAUGCAUCAGAGAUUCGGGUAAGGGGGUUCAUUUGACUCGGAAGAAGGUGUUAGGUACUCCCCAAGUCCCGUAACUAGUAAGGUUGCGCACUUGAUCAAAUUGGUUUUUAAAUAUUCAAAUUGAGGUAAAAAUAAACGUAGAAAAGAAAAAUAAACACACAAGAGGCUUGAGGUCGCCCCUACCUAAUAUAAGAAAAAUGAAAAUAAAAAUAAAAUACUAAGAGUUUUACUUUCGGCCUCCAAAUACAAAUACUUCGGGGCAAUACCCCGGAUAAAAAUAUAUACAAAUCUUUCGAGGCAUUCCCUAGUUAAAAUUAACUAAGGGAACAACCUCUCGCUUCAAAAACUGAAAAAAUCCUAAAGUUUUCCUACUCAGAUGAUGACGGCCUAAACAUGCUCCCACCGUCCGAGUAACUAAAAUCAACAAUAAAAUAAAGCUAUGAACUAUUUAAGCUUUAGUUUCUCCUUAGUUUUGGUUAAGACUCAUGCGCCGCAACUCAAUCACGAUUCAACUAAUGACCGUUCUAGUUCUUGACAAUAUGGGUGAUAAGUUUAUAUUUAAUUUUAACUUAGUCAGCAACCCUCACAAUCUAUUAAGUUAGGAUGACCUAAAUCACCACAUCAUUAUUAUAUUAUGAUAAUAAUCUAACAAACAUUCAACCUCAAAUGAAAGAUUAACAAAACAUAUUUCCGAAACCCAAUUCAGUUUAGGUCAACCAAUCCAUAGCAAAGCACAUCAUGAAAAACAAAUUUCAACUAGGAAUAACAUCACAUAUUGUUUAUAAUGAAAUCCCAUACACAAUAUUAAGUUAAAAGAGCAAGAAAUGGACCUUUAUGAUCAAGCUUUCAAUUAAAUAGAAUCAGCCACGAAUGAAUUGCAAACGAAAAUCACUGACCGAAUUGUAUCAAAAAUCGACAUGAGACGGAGACCGCGCCAGCAACAUCGACGAACCCACGAUUAGGCAGCCUCCAAACAGAGAUUCAAAUAAAGGAUUCAAAUUGGGGUAGUUUUUCCAAAUUCAGCGUAUUUUUUAUCGCUAUUUUCCCACCUUUUCUUACGUUUCAGAUAAGUUUUUGGAACCUCUUGUUGUUGUUGUAGGUGUCUUCUAGGUUCAGGGGGUGCCGGCGACCGGUGGGUGUGAACAACAUUGGAAUGGUUUUUGUAGGUGGUGUGUCUACUAGGAGAUGGAGAGAAAGUCCAGCGGCGUGUGUAGGUUGAUAACAGCGGAGGUCUUGGAGAGGAGAUGUGGUGGGGUCGAUGGAUGGUGGUUUGUCUUAAAGCGGCAGCUACAUCGGUUGAGAGGAUUCCGGGUGGCGACUGUUGCUUGUGUCUAAGGUUAUGAAGAAGAAGAAAAUGGCUGAAGGUUCUCUUAGGUUUAGUUCCGUCUUUUCUUAAGAAGAAGCUCACGCCUUAUACCAAAAAUGUCCAUGUCUCCUCUAGGGUUCAGCCCUUGUGUCUAUUCAAGAAAAAGGAGUGGCUCCAAGUUCUACGGCUAGGUUUUUAUUUUUAAGCUUAAGUUUUUUUAGUUCAAAAA